rnacentral:rRNA from 1 species
AUUGAACGCUGGCGGCAGGCCUAACACAUGCACGUCGAACGAGUGGCGGACGGGUGUGUAAUGUCUGGGAAACUGCUUGAUGGAGGGGGAUAACUACUGGAAAAGGUAGCUAAUACCGCAUACCAUCGGAUGUGCCCAGAUGGGAUUAGCUAGUAGGUGGGGUAAAGGCUCACCUAGGCGACGAUCCCUAGCUGGCCUGAGAGGAUGACCAGCCACACUGUAACUGAGACACGGUCCAGACGCCUACGGGAGGCAGCAGUGGGGAAUAUGGCACAAUAGGCGCAAGCCUGAUGCAGCCAUGCCGCGUGUAUGAAGAAGGCCUUCGGGUUGUAAAGUACUAUCAGCGGGGAGGCGUUACCCGCAGAAGAAGCACCGGCUAACUCCGUGCCAGCAGCCGCGGUAAUUC